rnacentral:rRNA from 1 species
CCUACGGGAGGCAGCAGUGGGGAAUAUUGGUCAAUGGACGCAAGUCUGACCCAGCAACGCCGCGUGAAGGAAGAAGGCUUUCGGGUUGUAAACUUCUUUUAAGGGGGAAGAGCAGAAGACGGUACCUCUUGAAUAAUCCACGGCUAACUACGUGCCAGCAGCCGCGGUAAUACGUAGGUGACAAGCGUUGUCCGGAUUUACUGGGUGUAAAGGGCGUGUAGCCGGAGAGACAAGUCAGGUGUGAAAUCCACGGGCUCAACCCGUGAACUGCAUUUAAAACUGUUUGCCUUGAGUGUCUGAGCGGUAAUCGGAAUCCGUGGUGUAGCGGUGAAAUGCGUAGAUAUUAGGAAGAACACGAGUGGCGAAGGCGGAUUACUGGACGAUAACUGACGGUGAGGCGCGAAAGCGUGGGGAGCAAACAGGAUUAGAUACCCGAGUAGUC